rnacentral:misc_RNA from 1 species
GAUGAAGAACGUAGUGAAAUGCGAUAACUAAUGUGAAUUGCAGAAUUCAGUGAAUCAUCGAGUCUUUGAACGCACAUUGCGCCCCCUGGUAUUCCGGGGGGCAUGCCUGUCCGAGCGUCAUUGCUGCCCUCAAGCCCGGCUUGUGUGUUGGGCCCCGUCCCCCUCUCCGGGGGACGGGCCCGAAAGGCAGCGGCGGCACCGAGUCCGGUCCUCGAGCGUAUGGGGCUUUGUCACCCGCUCUGUAGGCCCGGCCGGCGCCAGCCGACAACCCAUCAUCCUUUUCAGGUUGACCUCGGAUCAGGUAGGGAUACCCGCUGAACUUAAGCAUAUCAAUAAGCGGAGGA